rnacentral:rRNA from 1 species
UCGCCUGUUUUUCAAAAACAUAGUUUUAUGAAAUUCAUAUAAAAUAUUUUCUGCCCAAUGUUUAAAAAUAAAUGGCCGCAGUACUUUGACUGUGCUAAGGUAGCAUAAUCAAUUGGCUUUUAAUUGAAGUCUAGAAUGAAUGGGAUAAUGGAAUUUAGCUGUCUUAAAAAUUUUAAAUAAAACUUAUUUAUAAGGUGAAAAUACCUUAUAAUACAAUAAAGACGAGAAGACCCUAUGAAUUUAUUUAUAUAUUUUGUUGGGGCGACAGUUUAAAAUAUUAAUCUUAAAUUAUUAUAUAUAACGAUUAUAUUAAUAAAAAAAAAAUUACCUUAGGGAUAACAGCAUUAUUAUUUAAAUAGUUUGUGACCUCGAUGUUGGACUAGGAACUAUAAGGCUAACCGUCUUAAUAGAUUUGUUCUGUUCGAACAAUUUUAUCCUACGUGAUCUGAGUUCAGAACCGGA